AACCCUUAUCAUUAGUUACCAGCGAGUCAUGUCGGGGACUCUAAUGAGACUGCCGGGUUAACCGGAGGAAGUGGGAUGACGUCAAGUCCUCAUGGCCCUUAUGUCCAGGGCUACACACGUGCUACAAUGGGCGGUACAGAGUGUCGCAAUACCGCGAGGUAGAGCCAAAUCACAAAAACCGCUCUCAGUUCGGAUUGGAGUCUGCAACUCGACUCCAUGAAGCUGGAAUCGCUAGUAAUCGCGGAUCAGCAUGCCGCGGUGAAUACGUUCCCGGGCCUU
rnacentral:rRNA from 1 species